rnacentral:rRNA from 1 species
UGGUAAUGCCGGAUGUUCCAGUUGAUCGCAUGGUCUUCUGGGAAAGCUUUCGCGGUAUGGGAUGGGGUCGCGUCCUAUCAGCUUGACGGCGGGGUAACGGCCCACCGUGGCUUCGACGGGUAGCCGGCCUGAGAGGGCGACCGGCCACAUUGGGACUGAGAUACGGCCCAGACUCCUACGGGAGGCAGCAGUGGGGAAUAUUGCACAAUGGGCGCAAGCCUGAUGCAGCGACGCCGCGUGAGGGAUGGAGGCCUUCGGGUUGUAAACCUCUUUUAUCGGGGAGCAAGCGUGAGUGAGUUUACCCGUUGAAUAAGCACCGGCUAACUACGUGCCAGCAGCCGCGGUAAUACGUAGGGUGCAAGCGUUAUCCGGAAUUAUUGGGCGUAAAGGGCUCGUAGGCGGUUCGUCGCGUCCGGUGUGAAAGUCCAUCGCUUAACGGUGGAUCCGCGCCGGGUACGGGCGGGCUUGAGUGCGGUAGGGGAGACUGGAAUUCCCGGUGUAACGGUGGAAUGUGUAGAUAUCG